AGAGUUUGAUCAUGGCUCAGAUUGAACGCUGGCGGUAUGCUUAACACAUGCAAGUCGAACGGAAACGAUACUAGCUUGCUAGUAGGCGUCGAGUGGCGGACGGGUGAGUAACGCGUAGGAAUCUGCCUGAUAGUGGGGGAUAGCCCGGAGAAAUUCGGAUUAAUACCGCAUAAUCUAUUCGUAGUAAAGUGGGGGACUUUCGAGCCUCACGCUAUCAGAUGAGCCUGCGUAAGAUUAGCUUGUUGGUAGGGUAAAAGCCUACCAAGGCGACGAUCUUUAGCUGGUCUGAGAGGAUGAUCAGCCACAUCGGGACUGAGACACGGCCCGAACUCCUACGGGAGGCAGCAGUGGGGAAUAUUGGACAAUGGGGGCAACCCUGAUCCAGCAAUACCGCGUGUGUGAAGAAGGCCUGAGGGUUGUAAAGCACUUUCAAUUGUGAAGAAAAGUUAACGGUUAAUAACCGUUAGCCUUGACGUUAACUUUAGAAGAAGCACCGGCUAACUCCGUGCCAGCAGCCGCGGUAAUACGGAGGGUGCAAGCGUUAAUCGGAAUUACUGGGCGUAAAGCGUGCGUAGGUGGUUUAUUAAGUCAGAUGUGAAAGCCCCGGGCUUAACCUGGGAACUGCAUUUGAAACUGGUAAACUAGAGUAUGGUAGAGGAAAGUGGAAUUUCUGGUGUAGCGGUGAAAUGCGUAGAUAUCAGAAGGAACAUCAAUGGCGAAGGCAGCUUUCUGGACCAAUACUGACACUGAGGUACGAAAGCGUGGGUAGCAAACAGGAUUAGAUACCCUGGUAGUCCACGCCGUAAACGAUGAUAACUAGCCGUUGGGGGGAUUUACCCUUUAGUGGCGAAGCUAACGCGUUAAGUUAUCCGCCUGGGGAGUACGGCCGCAAGGUUAAAACUCAAAGGAAUUGACGGGGACCCGCACAAGCGGUGGAGCAUGUGGUUUAAUUCGAUGCAACGCGAAGAACCUUACCUGGUCUUGACAUCCUGCGAACUUUCUAGAAAUAGAUUGGUGCCUUCGGGAACGCAGUGACAGGUGCUGCAUGGCUGUCGUCAGCUCGUGUCGUGAGAUGUUGGGUUAAGUCCCGUAACGAGCGCAACCCCUAUCCUUAUUUGCCAGCACAUUAUGGUGGGAACUAUAAGGAGACUGCCGGUGAUAAACCGGAGGAAGGCGGGGACGACGUCAAGUCAUCAUGGCCCUUACGACCAGGGCUACACACGUGCUACAAUGGGAAGGACAAAGAGCCGCGAAGCCGCGAGGUGUAGCUAAUCUCAUAAACCUUUUCGUAGUCCGGAUUGGAGUCUGCAACUCGACUCCAUGAAGUCGGAAUCGCUAGUAAUCGUAGAUCAGAAUGCUACGGUGAAUACGUUCCCGGGUCUUGUACACACCGCCCGUCAUACCAUGGGAGUGGGUUGCACCAGAAGUGGCUAGUCUAACUUAGUGAGGACGGUCACCACGGUGUGAUUCAUGACUGGGGUAAAGUCGUAACAAGGUA
rnacentral:rRNA from 1 species